rnacentral:rRNA from 1 species
UACGUAGGGGGCUAGCGUUGUCCGGAAUCAUUGGGCGUAAAGAGCGUGUAGGCGGUCCGGUAAGUCCGCUGUGAAAGUCGGGGGCUCAACCCUCGAAUGCCGGUGGAUACUGUCGGGCUAGAGUGCGGAAGAGGCGAGUGGAAUUCCUGGUGUAGCGGUGGAAUGCGCAGAUAUCAGGAGGAACACCAAUGGCGAAGGCAGCUCGCUGGGACGGUACUGACGCUAAGGCGCGAAAGCGUGGGGAGCAAACAGG